CAGUGGUACACUCCAGUCCCAGUAGGGCUCAGGCAGGAGGGCCAGGGCUGGGCAUGGGCCCCCAACCACAGGAGGUCAGGACCAUAAGCCCCCUGAAGAGGCUCUGAGCAGGGCAAAGGAGGAGCCCAACAUCCUGGGUUGGAGUUUGGAUGCAGCCCCAGCUGUGUGACCCCGGGGCCAAUCCCAAUCCAUCUCUGAACCCCACCCGCUGCAGAGGGCUUCCCCCCACAACAUCCAAAGAGUGUCUUUGAGGGGCUGGAGCAGAAACAUUGCCUCUCAGAUCCAAGACCCUGUUUGGGGUGGCACAAGCCUUCUGAGGAAAUGCAGGCACAGAGGAAGACAUUCAUUCUUUCAAAAUCAUUUGUUCAACCAAUGCAGCGGCCUACUACGAGUGUGACAUAGUUCUAGGUGCUGGAGUUCAGCGGGAGCCAGGAGCCCAGUCCACGUGUCGGUCCGUGCGGAGGAGCCCGUUCGCUCCUCGCUGGCCGAGGGCUGGAGGACCUGGACAUCGGGGACCGCAGCGUCUCCUCACCAGACUCCCUGUCUGCACACGAUGUCCACUCCCCUGCAUUCUCAGAUAGCCCCUAUUCUCAGAUGGCCUCAAUGAGGACAGAAUGAGGAAGGGUCCAAUGAAGACUAGGGUCCUGGCGUGAGCGCAAAUCGUCGUCCUGAGCGCUUAGAACGCCUGGGUUUGGGACUGGAAGGUUGCGUUUGGGGAGUACGGACAGCUAGGCCACCCCCUGCCGAAUAGACCCUCCCCUACCCCUGCCCGGGGGCGGAGUAGGGGAGAGGGGCCUGUAGAGGGGCUGGCCCUUUAAGGGGGUGUGGUCGGGGGGCGGAGGAAGAGCGAGAC
ensembl:lncRNA novel transcript